CAGGGGGCCAGCAAACCAAAAAAGAGUGAGCCGGCAGCGUCCCUGACGCGGCCGGC
rnacentral:ncRNA from 2 species